GUACGUGACUGCUGUUGCUGUCUCCCAUUAUGACGUGGAUUGCAACCGGCUCCAUGGACAGAACCAUAAACGUGUGGAGAAUAGGAAAUGGAGUCGACAGAACUGAACCUGUGGGCAUCCGUCUCCCUAAGGAAAGUCGGAGAAGAGUCGUUAAAACACCCCCGAUACAUUUCUGUGUCCAAUCACAAGAGAGCUGAAUAAAGAUCCAGUCAUAGCUGCAGACAGAUAUUCCUAUGGGCGCGAGUCCAUAGAGAAUCAUGGGUGUGAUUAAAACCAGCUCCAUGAAGAACCUGCUGCUCCUCACCCCUGACAGCAGCUCCUUUGAACUUGUCAGAAUCCAACGUUACACUGCUCAUCUGAUAACAAGUGCUCUUAUUAUAAUUGGAAAAAGUAAUUACUGCAAAUAAGAUUUUGUUCUGGGUAUCUUUAUAAAUUUGACAAAUAAUCUGAAUCUUUGAUCUCAU